AAGAAUCAUUCUUUCGGGCUGGAGAGAUGGCUCAGCCAUUAAAGGCUAGCCUCACAACCAAAAAUAUA
ensembl:miRNA Gm25986 predicted gene, 25986